UACGUAGGGUGCAAGCGUUAAUCGGAAUUACUGGGCGUAAAGCGUGCGCAGGCGGUUCGCUAAGACAGAUGUGAAAUCCCCGGGCUUAACCUGGGAACUGCAUUUGUGACUGGCGGGCUAGAGUAUGGCAGAGGGGGGGUAGAAUUCCACGUGUAGCAGUGAAAUGCGUAGAGAUGUGGAGGAAUACCGAUGGCGAAGGCAGCCCCCUGGGCCAAUACUGACGCCUCAUGCACGAAAGCGUGGGGAGCAAACAGG
rnacentral:rRNA from 1 species